rnacentral:rRNA from 1 species
GACGAACGCUGGCGGCAGGCCUAACACAUGCAAGUCGAGCGCCCUUUCGGGGGUGCGGCGGGCGGGUGGGUAACGCGUGGGAAUAUGCCCUUCUCUACGGAAUAGCCUCGGGAAACUGAGAGUAAUACCGUAUACGCCCUAUGGGGGGAAGAUUUAUCGGGGAGGGAUUAGCCCGCGUUGGAUUAGGUAGUUGGUGGGGUAAUGGCCUACCAAGCCGACGAUCCAUAGCUGGUUUGAGAGCAUGAUCAGCCACACUGGGACUGAGACACGGCCCAGACUCCGACGCGAGGCAGCAGUGGGGAAUCUUAGACAAGGGGGGCAACCGUGAUCUAGCCAUGCCGCGGGAGUGAUGAAGGCCUUAGGGUUGUAAAGCUCUUUCAGCUGGGAAGAUAAUGACGGUACCAGCAGAAGAAGCCCCGGCUAACUCCGUG